UACGUAGGGACCAAGCGUUGUUCGGAUUUACUGGGCGUAAAGGGUGCGUAGGCGGCGGGGAAAGUCAGAUGUGAAAUCCGGAGGCUCAACCUCCGAAUUGCAUCCGAUACUCCCUCGCUAGAGAUUUGUAGAGGAGCUUGGAAUUCUCGGUGUAGCAGUGAAAUGCGUAGAUAUCGAGAAGAACGCUCGCAGCGAAAGCGAAGCUCUGGGCAAAUUCUGACGCUGAUGCACGAAGGCUAGGGGAGCAAACGGG
rnacentral:rRNA from 1 species